rnacentral:rRNA from 1 species
UACGAAGGGGGCUAGCGUUGCUCGGAAUGACUGGGCGUAAAGGGCGCGUAGGCGGCGCACUCAGUCCGGCGUGAAAGCCCUGGGCUCAACCUGGGGACGGCGCUGGAGACGGGUGGGCUCGAGGACGGAAGAGGCUCGCGGAAUUCCAGGUGUAGCGGUGAAAUGCGUAGAUAUCUGGAGGAACACCGGUGGCGAAGGCGGCAUCCUGGACCGACACUGACGCUGAGGAGCGAAAGCCAGGGGAGCAAACGGG